AUAUUCCGGAUACGCACAUAUGCUGGAAUGCUUUUUGCGUCAAAUGGAUUCGUCUGCCCAAGGAUGGGUCUGCGGCCUAUCAGGUAGUAGUGGGUGUAAUGUACCUACUAGCCUGCGACGGGUACGGGUUGUGAGAGCAAGAGCCCGGAGAUGGAUUCUGAGACAUGAAUCCAGGCCCUACGGGGCGCAGCAGGCGCGAAAACUUUACAAUGCGGGAAACCGUGAUAAGGGGACACCGAGUGCCAGCAUCAUAUGCUGGCUGUCCAGGUGUGUAAAAUACACCUGUUAGCAAGGGCCGGGCAAGACCGGUGCCAGCCGCCGCGGUAACACCGGCGGCCCGAGUGGUGAUCGUGAUUAUUGGGUCUAAAGGGUCCGUAGCCGGUUUGGUCAGUCCUCCGGGAAAUCUGGCAGCUCAACUGCUAGGCUUUCGGAGGAUACUGCCAGACUUGGAACCGGGAGAGGUAAGAGGUACUACAGGGGUAGGAGUGAAAUCUUGUAAUCCCUGUGAGACCACCUGUGGCGAAGGCGUCUUACCAGAACGGGUUCGACGGUGAGGGACGAAAGCUGGGGGCACGAACCGGAUUAGAUACCCGGGUAGUCCCAGCCGUAAACGAUGCUCGCUAGGUGUCAGGCAUGGCGCGGCCGUGUCUGGUGCCGCAGGGAAGCCGUGAAGCGAGCCACC
rnacentral:rRNA from 1 species